rnacentral:misc_RNA from 1 species
GAUGAAGAACGUAGCGAAAUGCGAUAAGUAAUGUGAAUUGCAGAAUUCAGUGAAUCAUCGAAUCUUUGAACGCACAUUGCGCCCGCCAGUAUUCUGGCGGGCAUGCCUGUUCGAGCGUCAUUUCAACCAUCAAGCCCCCGGCUUGUGUUGGGGACCUGCGGCUGCCGCAGGCCCUGAAAACCAGUGGCGGGCUCGCUGUCACACCGAGCGUAGUAGAUUUUCAUCUCGCUCAGGGCGUGCUGCGGGUUCCGGCCGUAAAAAGCCUUAUUUACCCAUGGUUGACCUCGGAUCAGGUAGGAAGACCCGCUGAACGUAAGCAUAUCAAUAAGCGGAGGA